CUGUAAGGGCUGCUGGAGGUAUCAGAAGUGCGAAUGCUGACAUGAGUAACGAUAAAGGGAGUGAAAAACUCCCUCGCCGGAAGACCAAGGGUUCCUGUCCAACGUUAAUCGGGGCAGGGUAAGUCGACUCCUAAGGCGAGGCCGAAAGGCGUAGUCGAUGGGAAACGGGUUAAUAUUCCCGUACUUCUUACAAUUGCGAUGGGGGGACGGAGAAGGCUAGGUGGGCCUGGCGACGGUUGUCCAGGUUCAAGUA
rnacentral:rRNA from 1 species